GACAGCAAAAAACCAAAGGAAGAAAGAGAAUGAAGAAUGACAAAAUUACCAAAGGGAGAAAGAGAAUGAAGAAUGACAAAAUUUGAAGUAUGCAGAGGAAGUGCAGCGAGAGCAAGAUUGAACCUACACGUACCAUAUUCUAUUUUGGUCCUUUUAGGUUGUUAACAUAGUCAGAAGGUAAAUAAAACAGUCGUUCGUGCGAGAAACCCACAAAGUAUCUGUAACAUAGAAAGGCGAAAUUCUGAAUUUUGAUUUAGCAGCGCGGUCAAGCUAGGGGAUACGUGUAUCAAAUACCGGUCAAUUCUUUAGCAAGCAUAACUGAAAGGGCUGAAACCCGAGCAGCUCGAAAACGAGAGAAGACAAUGGGGAGCAGAACAAAUUUCUACAAGAAUACUUCCAUCUCCUACAAGAAGGACUUGAACCUCUCCUCCGCUCUUCAAAACCUAAGAGCGUAUAACAUUGCUACCGGCAAUGCUCCUCCGACCGAUGUUGGACCACCUCCUGUCGUGAAGAAGAAUGAGAACCGGAAACGCCAUCGGGAGCCGGAAUUAUCUGGUAGUCCAAAGUAUGAUGUUGGAAAUAGUGACGGCCCUAUGUCUCAUCAAGAUUACAUUGAAAGGAGAAGAAAAGAAGCAAAUAAAUCUCAACCUUAUGAGACACUUACAGAAGAUGUUUUGGGAACUUCCAGCUUGGGCUUGAACUUGGUCGAAUAUGAAAGUGAUGAGAGCACAUCUUCAGAAAAUGCAGUAAAGCCGGAUCAUCCAAAUUCCAGUCUCUUGAAUGAUUACGAGGACGUGAAAAGCAAAACUGAGCAACGUCUUGCCAUUGCGGGAGAACCUGUUUGUGUAGUAUGUGGUAGAUAUGGAGAAUACAUAUGCGAUGAAACCAAUGAUGACAUCUGCGGCAUGGAAUGCAAACUCAAGCUUUUGGAAAUUCUUAAAUGGAGCGAGGAGUCCUCAAACUGCAAAGUGAAAGAUGUUGCAUUACCAGAAAGUAAAUAUAUCCUGCCUUCCCCAGAGUUCGGGGAGGACACCUGGGAUUAUAAGAACCAUCACUGGUCCAAAAAGAAAUCUAAUCUUUGUACUUAUGAAUGCUGGAAAUGUCAAAAGCCGGGACACCUUGCUGAAGAUUGUUUGGUGAAAAUCAGUAGCCAGAUAGUGCGACAAACGACUUCCAAUCCUGUACCUGGCGAUCUCCUUGGAUUAUAUAAAAGAUGUUACCAGAUAGGAAAGAAUGUGUCAAAUGCGCUGUGCAAUGAAUGCAGCUGUUCAUUUAGUUUGGCGACAUGUCUUGAUUGUAGCACUGUUUACUGUGACAGUGCAGGUCAUUUAAAUGAGCACAUCCACAGACACCCAACUCAUGGACUAUAUUAUUCGCAUAAACUCAAACGUCUUGUAAGUGUACAAAUCAAUAUCUACGUUGUUAUCUAUGUCAAUUUCUACCUUGUUUUUUGUGUAUACCGCUGUAGUGGCUUUCCGUGGAUAAGUUCAUCUUGACCCUAGAUGAAGUUAAAUAACUAUUCAAUGGUAAUACUUAGCUUUACACUUUAGAAGUAAAUUUUUCUGUAUACAUUCCUUUUAUUAGAUUUUUUCUGCAUAAACUUUUUUUUUAAUAUUUGCUACUACCACCAAGAUCUGUACCGACGGCCGCUCCGCCUGGGCUCACACAUAAGGUUUUGCAGUGACCGCCACGCCCUUCUACUCAUCGGGGCUUGGCUCUUGCCCCAACAGCCGGGUAUAGGUCGCACACUUCAGCAUUUUUUCUGCAUAAACUGAAACUGCGAGGAACUUAAUAUUGGCUUUCUUUUUGAUAAAGAAAUGUCAAAUGUUAUAUUCUUUAUGUAAAAGGGUGAUUGAGAUUGAUUGAGGCUGGGGCUGCAUCCAGUUUAGCCAACGAGGUUCAAAGAUGAUUUUUUCAAGAUGCAUAUACCUGAAAACAAAUCUUCCUUUGUUUAAUUGGGUAAAAUGCUGCAAAUCAACAUGCAGGGUGACUCACAUCAAGGAUCUUCUGGUCUGUCAUUACUGUUUUGAUAAAGCUUUCGACAAGUUCUAUGAUAUGUAUACUGCAUCUUG